AGAACUGUCAGCAUGAUGAGGAGAGUGGAAGUCAAGUCCCACAGGUGACCCAGGACACACAGCUAGGAGGCUGCAAGGGUGAGGUCGUUAUUGAUUCAUUGAUUCAACAUGUAUUUUGGAGCCCCUGCAAUAUACCACUCUCCAUGCCAGGCCCUAAGAAGAAGACAGAUGAGGCUUUUGCACUUGUACUCCAGCAUAGCAAACAGGUGAUAAGAAAACA
rnacentral:lncRNA from 10 species